rnacentral:rRNA from 1 species
UACGUAGGUGACAAGCGUUGUCCGGAUUUACUGGGCGUAAAGAGCGCGCAGGCGGUCGAUCAAGUCGAGUGUGAAAGCCCCCCGGCUCAACUGGGGAGGGUCAUUCGAUACUGAUCGACUCGAAGGCAGGAGAGGGUAGUGGAAUUCCCGGUGUAGUGGUGAAAUGCGUAGAUAUCGGGAGGAACACCAGUGGCGAAGGGCGACUACCUGGCCUGUUCUUGACGCUGAGGCGCGAAAGCUAGGGGAGCAAACGGGG